CGCGCGCUAUCAUGCAAGUCGAGCGCUCGUAUUUGACCUUGCUCCGUUCAGUUAGCGACGGAAGGUGAACGACUUGGGUCACCUACCUAUCGAGUCGAAUGAUUCGGGAACCGGGCUAAUGGCGGAUACCCUAGAACAGCAUGGUUCUAUUGUGAAUGAUGGUUUUGCUAUUUUUAUAGUGGACCCGCAUCGUAUUAGCUAGUUGGUAAGGUAAUGGCUUACCACGCUACCAUACGUACCCGACCUGAGAGGGUGAUCGGCCACGCUGGAACUGAGACACGGUCCAAACUCCUACAGAAGCCUGCGGUAGGGAAUCUUCCGCAAUGGGCGAAAGUCUGACGGAGUCACACCGCGUGAGUGAUGAAGGUUUUCGGACUUAUAAUUCUGUUAUUAUGGAAGAACAGUGAGAAAGUAACUGAGCGCAUCUUGACGGUACCUAAUCAGAUAGACCCGGAUAACUACGUGCCACCACCCGCGGUAAUACGUAGGUGGCAAUCGUUAUCCGGAAUUAUCGGGCGUAAAGGGCGCGAAGGCGGUUUCUUAAGUCUGAUUUGAAAUCCCCCGGAUCACCCGUGGAGGGUCAUUAGAAACUGGUAAACUUUAGUGCACAUGAGUGAGUGGAAUUCCGUGUGAAUCCGGUGAAUUGCGCAGAAAUGUGGAGAAAUUCCGGUGACCACAGGGGACUUUCGGGCCUGUACCUGACCCUCAUGGGCCAAAGCGUUGGGGAUCCAAACAGGA
rnacentral:rRNA from 1 species